rnacentral:rRNA from 1 species
ACGCACGCUGGCGGCGUGCUUAACACCUGCCAGUCGAACGGAAAGGCCCUGCUUUUGUGGGGUGCUCGAGUGGCGAACGGGUGAGUAACACGUGAGUAACCUGCCCUUGACUUUGGGAUAACUUUAGGAAACUGGGGCUAAUACCGGAUAGGAGCUCCUGCUGCAUGGUGGGGGUUGGAAAGUUUCGGCGGUUGGGGAUGGACUCGCGGCUUAUCAGCUUGUUGGUGGGGUAGUGGCUUACCAAGGCUUUGACGGGUAGCCGGCCUGAGAGGGUGACCGGCCACAUUGGGACUGAGAUACGGCCCAGACUCUUACGGGAGGCAGCAGUGGGGAAUAUUGCACAAUGGGCGGAAGCCUGAUGCAGCAACGCCGCGUGCGGGAUGACGGCCUUCGGGUUGUAAACCGCUUUCGCCUGUGACGAAGCGUGAGUGACGGUAAUGGGUAAAGAAGCACCGGCUAACUACGUG